CUGUUUGUAUUCAUUUGUCAAUAGUCACUUUAAAUUAAACAAUGAGUGAAAAGAUCAAUUAAUGUACUUAAUUUUCAAUGAUGUUUUGUUUAGAAUUUGUUUCGUUUCAAUCUAUUCAUUGUUUACGCCUGCAUUCAGGCCCGAGCUUUAUAAAGCUCGUAAUUCGAAUCAGAGAUAUAAUUUCAUCCUAAAACGUUUACAGAUAUUUGUUUCAGGGACCCAUUUCAAUCACCACAAGUCGUUUCGAGAAAUGUAAAGGACCAAGAAGAAGAGAUUGCUCUGACGUGAAACUUGAUUUGAACAACGGAAUCUUCAUCACGUAUGAUAUCUUGGUCAAAUCAUACAUCAAACUCACAACUGGUCGGAUUGUUGCAGUUUCAAACGGUAAAGAAAUUACGAGAUAUCAGAUGAAAACGCCAUGCGAUAACUUUCUAGUUCAAACUAUGUUCAAAAUUCAUUUAAAUGUAUCAAAUGAAUGUGCCGUUAAAAAGAGACAUUAUGUUUUCAAAUUAAACCUUCAAGACAUAUCGCAGAAGUACUUCGAUGGAAAUUAUUUUUACGGAAAUUGGACUUUUCGUACAAUCUUCGCCGGCAGUGAAUGCAAUUUUUUGUGUGCAGUUAUGGAAUUAAUAAUCUCACCGAAAUAGGUAGUUUAAGUAUAUAAAAAAAAUGUUUGACUAGAAAUAUUUUCAAUGAGAUGAAAUGUAAAAAUAAUCGUUAAUGUUUUUCCUAAAUAAAAUAGCUAAUAUUUACAGUACUCUAAACUGUUAAGAUCAAUUUUAUAACUACCACAAACAUUAUGGAACAGUCUUAUUUCAACCAUUAUUUGUAAUGCAACUUUUAAAACACUUCUACAAACACUAUAAUAUUUAAUACAUACAUAAUUAUACUUUUUUCUUGAUUAUUCUACACAAUGAAUACUAAUAAAUGUCAUUUUAAACGAA